rnacentral:rRNA from 1 species
GAUGAACGCUGGCGGCGUGCCUAAUACAUGCAAGUCGAGCGAACGGACGAGAAGCUUGCUUCUCUGAUGUUAGCGGCGGACGGGUGAGUAACACGUGGAUAACCUACCUAUAAGACUGGGAUAACUUCGGGAAACCGGAGCUAAUACCGGAUGAUAUUUUGAACCGCAUGGUUCAAAAGUGAAAGACGGUCUUGCUGUCACUUAUAGAUGGAUCCGCGCUGCAUUAGCUAGUUGGUAAGGUAACGGCUUACCAAGGCAACGAUGCAUAGCCGACCUGAGAGGGUGGUUGGCCAAACCGGAAACGAGACACGGUCCCGACCCCUACGGGAGGGAGCAGGAGGGAAUCUUCCGCAAUGGGCGAAAGCCUGACGGAGCAACGCCGCGUGAGUGAUGAAGGUCUUUGGAUCGUAAAACUCUGUUAUUAGGGAUGAACAUAUGUGUAAGUAACUGUGCACAUCUUGACGGUACCUAAUCAGAAAGCCACGGCUAACUACGUG